CGUAAGUUUCAGGGAAGGUGAAAUUCCUUACUGGCGGUAAGUCGGCGCCCGGCAUUCAUAACGGAGCGCACGGCAAGCCCGCGACCCGCGCAAGCGGCCGAUUCGGUGCGAUUCCGAAGCCAACGGUACAGUCCGGAUGGAAGAAACGAGGA
rnacentral:ncRNA from 2 species